AUGAUUUCCCAUUCAGUUUGCUCCCUUUCUGUUUGUUGCUCAAACAAAUUUCAGGUCUCAUCGUCCGAUGGCUAUGGCCGGCUGGUUCAUAGUCUUCAUCGGGGUGUGGUGGCUGCCAGUAAUUCUCGUGGAGGCCGAGAACCAGCAGGGGUAGGCUGCUCGGCCAAGUGUGGCAACAUCAGCAUCUUCGAUCCGUUCUGGCUCACAGACGGAGAGACGGGAAGAUCCUGCGGUUCUGAUCCCUACCAAAUUUUUGUAUUUUGUUUUGCCAUUUUUUCCGGUCCUGGGCGAAACGGCCGAAAUUCGGUUUUUCUAAAAAAAAUCGGAUAA
rnacentral:rRNA from 1 species